UGGGGAAUCUUGCACAAUGGGGGAAACCCUGAUGCAGCGACGCCGCGUGAGCGAUGAAGCCCUUCGGGGUGUAAAGUUCUUUCGACAGGAACGAUAAUGACGGUACCUGGAGAAGAAGCUGCGGCUAACUACGUGCCAGCAGCCGCGGUAAUACGUAGGCAGCGAGCGUUGUUCGGAGUUACUGGGCGUAAAGAGUGCGUAGGCGGCGAGCCAAGUUUGGUGUGAAAUCUCCCGGCUUAACCGGGAGGGUGCGCCGAAAACUGGUUGGCUGGAGUAUGGGAGAGGAAAGCGGAAUUCCUGGUGUAGCGGUGAAAUGCGUAGAUAUCAGGAGGAACACCUGCGGUGUAGACAGCUUUCUGGACCAAAACUGACGCUGAGGCACGAAAGCGUGGGUAGCAAACA
rnacentral:rRNA from 1 species